UUCAGGGGAUCAAAUGUUGUUUCUACUCUGGGAAUAUAAGCUUCAGAUGUGUAAUGUGUAAAAUUACUGGGAGCUGUGACAAAGCCGUACAAGGGUGAAAUAUACUGCUGCUGAAUUUUAUAUGUGCAUUUUAUAUGUGCUUUUCUGCAUUCUUUCAUAUGCUUUAGGAGCAAGAGAAUUCCCCAACCAGGCCAGUGCCCUGCUGGAAAGCAAGGGUAUCUCCAGGAUGUCAGUCUCAAAUUUGUACCUGGGGCAGGAUAUUAUUAUGUGCUCCAUGGUUUGAUCAGGGUUUCCACAGUUGCAGCCAGGUGAGGUUUUUAGGCACCACUUGUACAUCAGGUGGCCACACCAAACAUGUCCAGUGCGUAUCCUAUCAAGGGUUGUCCACAUGGAAGGUUGGAGGGAUGUUGCAUUGUUUGGUCAGAGGAAGGUUGAAGCCUGGCUGUUGCACUGUUGGGUUGGAAACAAGGUGUUUAUUUGGGAAAGUGUUUUCUGCUCAAGCUUUCCUCCAAGAUUCUUCAGUGUUGUGGUAUAUGAGGUGCUCAGUUCGUGUCCCAAAAGGUUUUCAUGAAAUCAUGUGAUGAGUUGGGAGAUCCUGAAUGGGAAGGUACAGAUUGCUAUUGAUACGCAUUUUUUCUCUGUAUGAUGCUACAUCCCGUCGAAAAGAGGGAGGAGUAAUGUUUGAAAGUACUGGUAGCCACUGCACUGGAGUUGAUAUCAAAGUUCCAGAGAUAGUUCUCAUUACUGAGUAGAGUUGUGUGUCGAUGAGUUUGUUAUGUUGACUUGAGGCCCAGAUGGGUGCCCAGUACUCAGCUGUACCCUGCUCAGACCAGGGCUACGGCAGAAGUGUGAAGGACAUCCACUUUUGCACCCCAGGUUGUGUUGGAGAGCUUUUGGAUGAUAUUCACUUGUGCCUUUGUUUUCAUGGCAGUCUUUCGGAUGUGAUGAUGGUAGGUUAGGGAGUGAUCAGGGGUCACCUCAAGGUAGGUAGGAGUUGGGUCGUGACAUACUUUUUCUUAACAAAAGGUGACGUUGAGGGUGUUAUGUGCCUUGCAAUUGUCAAGAUGGAAUGCAGAGACGAUAGACUUGGUUGGAUUUAUUCAUUCUCCACUGAUGGAAGUAUUCAGCCAUUAUUGGUAAAUCAGAGUUCAGUGUGGCUUCAGUAUCCUAAAAAGAUUUUGCUUGUGUGGUUAAAGUGAUAUCAUUGGUGUAGAUAAAUUUCUGUGAUGAUGUGUAGGGCAUAUCACUUAUGUAGAUUGUUAAAAAUUGUCAGUGCCAGAACACGACCCUGUGGAACGCUGUUGUUGAGUAUUCUCGGAGUGCUGGCCUUAUCUGGUAGGUAGACCUUCAUCCUUCUGUUGCUCAUUAAAGUCCACAGAAACUGGAGUAAUUUGGCACAUGGCAGCAGCAGGGAGAAUUUGAGCAUCAGUCACUGUUUCCACACAGUAUUAUAGACCGAGGAAAGAUCUAUGAGGGCAGCCUUGGUCUUGAGCUUAUGGUGAAAACCAGCUUCAAUGUUUGUAGUGAUGGCAAGCACUUAUUCACAGCAGCUACGAUAGGGUCUAAAGCCAGCCUGUUCUUGGGGUCGUAAUAGGUUGAUGAUAGCGAUGAUUCUUAGAAGGAUGAGCUGCUCCAGGAGCUUAUAGGUUUUGUAGAGCAAAGAGAUAGGCCUGUAGCUCCUAGGGUCAUGUACCAGCUUUCCUGAUUUUGGCAGGGCUAUCACCAUUGCCUCAUGCCAGAUUUGUGGAAUAUAGCUGUUCUUUAUCACAGUUGAAAAGAGAGCCAGAAGCCAUUGUUUUGCCGUGGGCCAAGAAGAGGGAGGAAUUUCGGUGGAAUACCAUCUUUCCCAGCAGCUUUCCCCUUCUUUGUGGAUGCUAGGCUAGCAUCCAGUUCCACAAAAGUGAAAUGAUCUGACAGUCGAGAGGACUGGACAGUUUGCCAUUGUCUCUCUUAAUUUCGUUUGAGUUGGCCACCAAUUUAGCAGCAACAGCAUUUGAGCUGACUUGUGGGUUAGCGGCCUCUGUUGGGUUUUGUGAGGCUUGCGCCCCUUUUACCGCCUGGCCUGUCGGGGUGUGGCCCCUCCCCUCAACUCUCCUGCCACGACUUUGAUGUUAAAUGUACUUUAAGAGGGGUUUGCAGUGGAGAUCUUUCCCGGGUGGGCCUCCCCGAUAGGUGGUGGUACUUACGAUCGUUCGACAUGAUGUUCCACGGGGCUCCGCCUCCCCUACACCCCGCCCACUCGCCAACCAGUUGGUGAUGCAUUAAUGCUGUCUUCUGGUCCUGUAUGACGACCGGGGACCUGUCUACCGGGUUCCUGGCGCUCUUUCUUCCCUCUUGGGGUAGUUUUUACAUCAAAGGAAAUAUUCCUCUGAGUAAGAAGGGGCUGCAGGGUUGCCUCCCUUAUCCCAGCCCCCUCUCGGGGUCUCUGAUGCCUCCUCUUCCUUACCGUAAGCAGGGAGCUCCCCUGCUUCCUUGGUAUCUGCUUUUUCUGGUGGCUGUAUAGGUGCUUCUGCUCUGCCUCCUGCAAGAGGCUUAAAGCUUUCUCCUGUGCUGCCUGCUUGAGCCACGCAGGCUGGGUUACCUCCUCCCCAUGCCGGAGCCUGCCUCAUGAGCUGCCAGCCCGUGUUCUCUCUCUCUGGCUGUCCCCCUGCCCCAGCUCCGGUGGGGCUUUUAAACUUUCCUGCAGCGGCUGGUACGGCCGCUGGGAUUGGCUCAGCUGUUCCCCAUGCCGGAAACAGCUGAUUAAACAGCCGGCGUAAUGCCGGUUCGCGCAGCUAUGGCUGCGGGUGCGGCUCCUGCUGCGGCUGCUCUGAGGGAGGUACGUUAGCCCCUCUGGGGGCUUUUUCUCGGGGUCUGGGGCCCAUGGGGUCUACUCUCUCCCCCUCGAGAACCUGUGGGGGUGCCUCACUGCCACAGGUUUGAUGUGUUAAGUUUCCUCAGGAAGCUCCAGGCCCAACGGCUUGAGUGCAUCAAGUCUGUGGAUUCCACUCAGUCCAGCCAGCUUUGUUGUCUACAAGUAUCCAAAGAUUCAAGUAGGGCUGUGGCUGUUGCUGGGUCUCCAGAUUCUUUAUACCAUUGGAAAAGGACUUAGCAGUCAUGGCUCCAACAAGGGAUGUACUGCUCUGAAACCUUGAAGGAUGUUCUUUUUACCUGCAGCAAUAAGCAGGGCCACAAAAUGAUUGUACUGUUUUGGCGUCAGGGGGAUGCAAUGGAUGGUUUUGUCCACCUCAACAGUAAAUCCAGACCAGUCUGCCCUAUGAAAGUGCCAUCUUGGCACUCAUUUUGAUGGCAUGACAGGGAUUUCAACUCCUACGUGACUCGUAAUUGGCCUCUGCUGGCUGUGUGGGAAGUCUGAGAGAAUAGUUUGAGACAGGUGUAUAGGGACACCUUCAUUAUCUGACGAGACAAGGGUGAGGUCAGGGUUGCAUUUCCUCCCCUAUCUUGCUGGUAGAAAAGUUGUACAAUGUUUGGUAUCAUACACAAGGUGAAGAUCCUGGGCUGACAUCCAGUCUAUCAGGGCUUGCCCAUUGUUGUCAUUUACAUCGUAACCCCAUUCGGUAUGGGGACUGUUAAAGUCUCCCACGUAUAUAGUUAGAUGCUAGGGGGGGUGGCAGAUAGGAGAGCUGGAUUAGGCCAUUCUACAUUAGGGGGUUUGUAGAUAUUGAUAACUGUCAGCUCGCCAAUUUUAAUAGCUGAUGUAGCGGUGCCUCUGUGUUCUGUGGUUGGGAUUGUGAUAUAGUUGGUAGUCUCAUCUUUCACAUAGAUUACCAGGCCAUAUUUUACAUGAGGUAGGGUUGUGGCAAGCUUGUAGCUGUAGAUCUUAUAGCAGUGUGCCUGCUCAUUAUUAGCAACAUGCAUUUCCUGUAAUGUGAGAACAUUCAUAUAAUCGAUCUCAGCAUCUUUCCUAGGUUUUGCCCGCAAGAGACCUUCCUUCAGCAUUCAGUAGACAGAUCUGUGUUCCAGGGUCUAAUCUUUGGGGUCUUGGUUCUUGAAAGGGAUUCUUGGAAUCACUUCAAUUUUGAGUUUUGCUCCAUUGACCGGGAGGCUAGUUAAAGGCGUUCAGUUGCCUUUUUGGUGACAAUAGUUGCAGACCCAGGAAUUUUCUGCAUUGGGCGUUUAUAAAUAUUGAGCUUUGGAUAGACAUAAUUUUAUAUUAUAUUUAAAUGUUAAACAAUUACAGUUGCAAAGCAGUCUGGGAUUCUUGGUUGAAACUUGCCAUAUGAAUGAAAAAAAUUGUUGCAACCAGGGGAGAUUUUCAUGCAAUCGGUCAAAGAUCAGACAGCAAAGCUGAGAGCCAAGAUACUAUAUAAAAUAGCAGAUCUGAGGAAAGAACAGGCUGCGCAAACAGGCGUGCUCCUAGGCCCGGUGUGCGAGUUAGCGUGGGAGUUCACGCAGGAGGGCAAGCGGGAGGGCCCGAGGCCCUGCCUGUGAGCCCCCCAGGGUAGACAGUCCCAGCCGCAGUCAGUGCACCAGCAGCAUAACGUGGAUGGGCAUGAGCCACACCCCUUGGGUCCUCUAAGGGUCUGCGGCCUCCACCUUUGGCACCUCGGAGACCGCCACCCAGAUGACGCCCAUGGUUCUGGGCUCCACGCAGAUGCUUACAAGUGCUGCCUGUCACUUUUUCAGGCUCUGGGGCCUGGGAGCAUGGCCACCUCCCCUUGUGAGGUCUGCUCCCUUUUGGGGUCUCUGCUGCGCCAGCUGGAGGAGCUCCAGGCCACAGUCCAGAGACUCUGCGCCAUCAGGGACUGUGAGCAGGAGAUUGACUCCUACGGCCAGGCCCUUCUCCCCUGGGAGGCGGAGGGCAGACCACUGUUGCCCUCCAGGACAAGGGAGGACUCGGGGACCUCCCAUUCUGUCCAGCCCAGGGGAUGGGCCGAGGUGGUCAAGGGCCCCCAGGCCGGCUGCACCAUGGCCGCUGCCCCACUGGAGCUUUGCAACAGGUAUGAACCUCUUGCAGCCCCUGCAGAGCCUACUGAGUUGCCAGCUCCUGCAGGCAACACAGGCUGUACUGUAGCUACCGCCCCCACUCUCCCCAAGACAAAACGCAAAGUGUUUGUCAUGGGAGACUCCAUCCUGAGGGAGACUGAGGGGAUAAUCUGCCUCCCUGACCCCUCAGCAUGGGAAGUUUGCUGCUCCCCGGGAGCCCACAUCCAAGACACUGUGGAGAAGAUCUCUAAACUCCUUCAGCCCACUGACCACUAUCCCAUGUUCCUUAUCCAGGUGGGCACCAAUGACACGGCUCAGAGCGCUCCCAGCCGGGUCAUGAGGUGCUACAGGGAUUUGAGAGCGGGGCAUAAGGGUCUGGGGGUGCAGGUGGUAUUUAAUUUGAUCCUCCCAGUCUCAGGCUAUGGGCUGAAGAGGGAGAGGAGGAUCCAGGUAGUUAACCAAAGACUGCGGCACUGGUGUCAUCAGGAAGGCUUUGGCUUCCAUGACUACAGUCCGCUCUUUGGUGAGAGAGGCAGUGAACUGCGGGGAAGGGACAGCCUCUACCUCUCUCAGCUGGGGAGGAGGCUCUUCUCAGCUAGACUGGCUGACCUGCAUCGUCGGGGUUUAAACUAAACCCGCUGGGGGAUGGGGGGACUACUGCCACUUCUGGCCUGCUGAGCAACCCUUGCAAAGCCAGCAGGCCAAGGCAUUUAAGGGAACCCACCCCUGCCCCAGCCCUGGAAAAAUCUGUAGGCAAGGCAAGGGCCCCCAAAGGGUGUGCCUUUUUUACCAGUCCCAUGGGACGCCCCUGCCCACUGUGGGUCAGGGAGGUCCGGGUGAGGGAGAUUCCUUGCCCUCCAUUGAAGCUGACCUUGUGAAGGCACGCUUUAAGAAGCUGGAUACCUUCAAGUCAGCCGGCCCUGACGGUUUACACCCAAGGGUACUCAAGGAGCUGGAAAGCAUCAUAGCUCAGCCCCUGGCACAUAUCUUUGAGAACUCCUGGUGCUCUGGUGAAGUGCCUGAUGAUUGGAAGAAGGCCAAUGUCAUGCCAAUCUUCAAGAAAGGGAGGAAAGUAGAUCCGGCAAACUACAGGCCCAUCAGCUUGACCUCUAUCCUGGGGAAGGUCUUGGAAAAGAUUAUCAAAGAGGCCAUCCUUAACAAACUAACUGACGGCAAUAUCCUGAGGGAUACCCAGCAUGGGUUUAUUGUGAGUAGGUCUUCCUUGACCAAUCUCAUUUUCUUUUAUGACCAGGUGACCUAUUACCUGGACAAGUGGGAAGAGAUUGAUGUCAUAUAUCUUGACUUUAAAAAAGCCUUCGAUCUGGUAUCCCAUGAUCACCUCUUGGCAAAACUGGCUAACUGAGGCCUCGACCUCACCGUUAUCCGCUGGCUGGGGAACUGGCUCCAUGGUAGGACCCAGAAGGUGGUGGUUGACAGAAGCCAAUUGUCUUGGUGCGCAGUCACCAGUGGGGUUCCUCAAGGCUCUGUCGUAGGUCCUAUACUGUUUAACAUCUUCAUCAAUGAUGUGGACAUUGGUGUCAGAAGCAGACUGGCCAAGUUUGCCGACAACACCAAACUCUGGGGUAAAGCAUCCACACCUGAGGACAGGAGGGUGAUCCAAGCAGAUCUUUACAAGCUCAUGAAAUGGGCGGAUGAGAACCUGAUGGUGUUCAACACCAAAAAAUGCGAGGUUCUCCACCUUGGGAGGAAAAACCUGCAGCAUCCUUAUAGGCUCGGCAGUGCUACGCUGGUUAGCAUUACAGAUGAAAGGGACUUGGGGGCCAUGAUUGACCACAAGAUGAACAUGAGCCUUCAAUGUGAUGCUGCAGCUAGUAAAACAAGCAAAAUGCUUGCUUGCAUCCAUAGAUGCUUCUCAAGCAAAUCCUGGGACAUCAUUCUUCUGUUGUAUUUGGCCUUGGUGAGGCCGCAGCUGGAUACUGCGUCCAGUUUUGGGCUCCACAAUUCAAAAAGGAUGUGGAGAAGCUUGAGAGAGUGCAGAGGAGAGCCAUGCGCAUGAUCAGAGGUCAGGAAAAUAGACCUUAUGAUGAGAGGCUGAGCGCCAUGGGACUCUUCAGCUUAGAAAAGCACAGGCUCAGGGGUGAUUUGGUGGCCACAUAUAAGUUUAUCAGGGGUGCUCAUCAGGAUCUGGGGGAAUGUCUGUUCACUAGAGCGCCCCAAGGUCUGUUCACUAGAGCGCCCCAAGAUCAAACAGUCACAAACUCCGCUGCAACCGAUUCAGGCUGGACAUAAGGAAGAACGUCUUUACUGUCCGAGCCCCCAAGGUUUGAAAUAGACUGCUGCCGGAGGCGGUUCAAGCACUCACUUUGAACGCCUUCAGGACACAUUUGGAUGCUUAUCUUGCUGGGAUCCUAUGAUCCCUGCUGACUUCCUGCCCCUAGGGCAGGGGGUUGGACUCAGUGAUCCUCCGGGGUCCCUUCUAGCCCAAAUGUCUAUGAAAUAUCUAUGAAGAGAGAUCUGUACUAAUUACUUCUAAGUAUUUAUUAAAUGAAGAGUGUUUAUCUUAGUUUUUAAUAAUUAAAGUAUAUAGUAAAAUAUUUUUUAUUUUAAGAAAAAGCUCUACACAAAAACCCCUUACAACAGUUAAUCUGGAAAAUACUUAGUUCAAUAGAACUGGAUUCUACAUUAUGCUUGUGUUCCAAUUGUGUUUAAAGAGUUCUUUGGACAUUUAGAUACCUUUCAGGAUACAACAGUUCCAAGCAUCUAACAUAAUCUCUUAGCUAGUCAGGGUGUAAAUCCUUAGCUGAUCAGCCAUGCGGGACCCCGGGUACCCCCCCCAGAUCCAGAAGGUACCCGUCAUUGAGCUGGAGGGGCAGGGGGGGCCCUACCAAGUGGACUCAGAAGUGGACCAGAAGUGCUUCUGGUCCACUUCUGGGUCUGCUGCCGAGUGCGCUAGGGAGCCCCUUGCACUCCUGUGGGAUGUUCCAUCCGCCCCGCCAUCUCAGCAUUCAUGAGCUGCCUGGUACCUUGAGGUAUGUAGAAAAAACAUUUAAAGCUGUGUCUAUGUCCGAAUCAUCAAAUCUCUCCACAUCAAUGCAGAGGGUUUUGAUUUGAUUAGGAGAGAUUAAAGGGUCUCCUGAUUUGAUUCGGAUUUGGAGAUUCAGCUACCGAAUUAAACUGAAUCUCCACCAAAUCGAAUCAGCGACCGAAGCUUCAUAUAGCCCUAAUGUUUGCUUUCCAUAGCAAGUCCCACUAAACUAGUCAAUUUAUUGAGUCCACCCAAUAAAAACGGAGUAGUAAUAAAUGUGCACAUACAGAAAGAAGGUGGAAGGGAUGGGGAACAAUAUAAAAAAUAUGAUAAUGCCAUUAUAAAUUGAUGUGAUGUUGUCUUCCUGUUGAGAACUGCAUUGGAUUUUGGUAAUCUCAUUUCAGAAAUGACAUAGAAGUAAUAUAAAAAGCCUGGUGAAGGGAAAAAUAUUAUAGGCUUGAGGAAGGAAAGGGAGGGCUAAAAAAUGCUGGAAUUAUUUAGACCCUGAUCAUGCAAUUGGAUGCAGGUGGGCUUUUACAUCCACUCAGGACUCUAUUGACAUCAGUGCCAGAUUUCAGAAUCUAAGCUUUGUACAUGCACAUUCCCCUCAGGCUGUGGAGAACUGUUCAAAAUUAUUGAAUGGCUAGGAAAUCAAAAUUGUAGGCUACGUUGAAUUCAAGAAGCAGGAGAAAUAAAUCUUAGUUUUAUCUUUCUCCACAAUCUGAAUACACAAUCCCUUGUAAGGCAUAGACAGUCACCAACAUUUUACUAUUCUACAGAUUCGAUAGGACUGAUUUGUUAUGGAGCAAACUUCUGGAAAGAUAAGGUUUCCUGUUCAUUUAACAUUUGGUUCUUUAUGCCUUGUUUCAAGCAAACAUGAUUAGCUUAUGCAAAUGUAAAUUAUAUGUUUGAUUUUUUUAUUAAUGUAAGACAUGAGCUUUAAUAUGUAGCAACAAGAAAAAUACCUCUGUAGUCUUUAGCUAUAAAGAGGCUCUUUCCUGCCACCUCAAGAAAUCCCACUCAUCUCUUAUUUAUAUUACACAAUUUAAGUCAAAGUUUCGCAGACAAAAUGGCUAAUACAUGAUUUGAUUAAAGAAACAUUUAAGGAAGGACAUAUAGAUAUUGGCAAUUAACAUGGUUUUGUGGAAAAUAGAUCCCACCUAACUUGAUAUCUGUUUUGAAUUAGAUUACAAUUUUGCUUGAUAAAGAUAAAAAUGUUGAUGAUAUUUAGAUUCCUAUGAGGCAUUUGCCUUGGUUAUUUUCAUUAAGAAACCAAAAUGAAACAAAAUGAAUGUGGUAGUCAUUAAGUAGAGUAAAAAGUGGUAAAUUAAUAGAUCUACAAGUGUAAUUAGACAUCUAGAUAGUACUACCUUUUCUGCAUAAAUGAUUUCUGUAUUUGCCCCACGCAUACUAUACAGUCAUGAAUGAGAGGAGCAAUGACUUAUGUGAUCAUAAUGAGCAAAGAAGUGUUUCAUGGGAUGAACUAUGUCCUACAAUGUGGUCUUGUAUUUGAAAGCUUGUCUGAUUUUAUCCCAAAUACGUACUUGGUUUAAUAAAAGAUAUCACCCUAAGAAAUCCUUGCGUCUUGCAUAAUUUAUGGACCAUCAUACCUACAGCAUCAUUCUUACACUACUGUCCCUGCUAUAAAAAGUUGAAAAUCUUGGGUAAAAGACACCUUUGAAAAUCUAGCAAGUUUUGAAAAAGACAUACUCUCAUUUCUUCAUCAGUUAAGAAAAUUUUUAAAAAUUAUAAAUGUUCAGCAUUCUUACAUCUUUUGGUAAGGCAGAUCUGAGGCAACUAAUGCAAUGUAUUGAAGUAAAUGGAACUCAUUCUUGGGUUUCUAUAUUAUAAAUAGGCAAGAUAAUGACCCUCAAAUGUAUCAUUUAUCAUCAAAUUUAGCAAAUCUAAAAAUGACUUAUUUCAUUCUAGUUUACAACUUCUGAUCAUUAGGGUGCAUUUAACCCUCAUUUAAACUUUUCAGAUUCAAAUUGAGUGCUGUAGAAAAGGUUACAGUCCAGUGGGCCAGAAAUUUUUAAGAGCUACUGUAAAUGGACUAGAGUUUGGAAACUACCAAUAAUACUAAGGGCAUCUAAAAUGGUAAUCCCUUCUAAAAGAUGUACAAAAUCAAGUUGUAGAAAAUAGUCCAUUUACUGACUACAACCUCAAAGCUACGAACAUGGAGGAGUGGGACAGAGGCUAGGAACAGAUGUUGCAUUUGUCUCUGGACAAGUUGUGCCUGCAUUUGUCCCAGAAAAGAAAUAUCCUGGGAUUGGCAUGUACACACAUCACCCUUGUAGUCAAGCUUUAGUGAGCAGUCGAAUGCACUGGUGUCUUUCUGCCAUUUGUUCAAUGAUGCCACAAAUUAGGCAAAAUUGAUUCAAUGAUGCAAUCCUGGGAUAACUGUUCAGGCAUACAUUGUGAUGUCCCAAGAUAAACUGCUCAUACUUGUUACCCCAUUAUUCCGGGACCACAAACAUGGAUGUCUGAAUGUUUGCAUUUUGUCCUGGGAUAAAAUGGUUUACCUUGGGACAGACUGAACAUCUGUUUGUAGCCAAAAUAGUUUAGAAGCAUUUUUUUUUCUUCUAAUCUGGUUAAGAGGUAUUAUCUUAAGGGUACUGCUUACCUUGGCUUGCUCUGCUUUUCUAGGGAUAGUGUAAUUAGCACUGAGCGCAAUAGUUACCUUUCUUAUUUCUUUUUUUUUAUGUAUAUUAAAAUAUUAGUGGAGGUAUUUCUUGUGUGUUCUUCAGGAAUUCUGCAGAGGGGGAAGUUGGUACCUUUAAGGAAAGGACCGAGGACUAGAUCUACAAAGGGACUGUGAUGCUGCAAGCCUGAGAUAGCUGUCAAAGCUCUCUACAGUACAGGCAACCCGCACUUAUCGCUUUUAAUUGGUUCUGGAAAAAACGAGUGUUAAGCAGAGCAGCUUUAAGCGAAACCCAUUUUCCCAAUGGGAAUUAAUGUAAAUAAAUAUAAUUUGUUACCAGAGCACCCAGCAGCAGCAACAUGAGCACCUGGUAGCUCAGGGCCAGCUUGGCCCAGGCUGUGAAGGCAGUGCUCUUGGACCCCUCCAUGCCAGGUGGUGGGCAGGGGGGUGGUCAUGGUCACAGUCACGGUCACUCCAGACCAGCUCCCCCUUCUCUCAGCUGGCACAGCCCAGCCUGGCUCCAUAAAGCCCCUGCCAGUCUGGGCCCCAUGCUCCUGCCAUCCUGCCCUGGGCCCCUGCUGGCCCUGGCACUGGGGCACCGGCAUGGGCCCCGUGCUCACGCCCGCCCGCCCACUUAGUGCCAGUUGCCUCCCUGCCUGCCGCUGCUAUUUCCCUGCUUUUCCGCCCACCACUGCCACUUCUCCCCACCUGCCCGCCAGCUGCUCUGGCACCACGUGCCGAAGUAUUAUAACGAAACUCACUGAGCGCUAAGUGGAAUCAGGUAUGAAUGUAAAAUGAGCACUGUAGCAAAACAGUGCUAAGUGAAACAGCGUUAAGCUGGGGUUGCCUGUAUAUAGAGAAAGUUAAGCACCUACUCUGUACUACAAUGUUUUGUCAGCAUAGUCAUAGUAGCUAGAGGAGGGAGGAGGAGUGAAAAAGACCAUAGUUCUUAGCUAUGCUGACAUUAGUCUUGGUGUUGGCACAGUUAUGCUAACAAAAAGUAUUUUUGUUGGCUUAGCUCUUGUCAUUUAGGGGGUGGCCUGGCUAUAUUAGCAGAAAAAAAUUCUGUUAGCAUACACUACAAAUCAAAUCCUGAUUUGGAAUGGACUAAAUUUGGCCUAGUGUAAAGGGCCAGCCCACAGUCUACUCACUACUUCAGGCUUUCUUAUGCUCUGUUUUCUGGGUUUAGGGUCUUAUUAGGGUCUAAUCAUAGUCUUAGGGUCUAAUCACAGUCAUAGCAAUCUAGGGCUGGAAGAGACCUCAGGCCACAGGGCAGAAACACCUCUGCCUAAGCUAUCCCAGACAAAUGUUUGUUUAAUCUGUGUGUGAAAGCAUGCAGUGUUGGAACUUCCACAAUCUCCUUAAUCUGUUUCAAUACUUCAGGGCUGUCCAAUUUUUGGGGGGAAGUGAGGUGACAAACAUCCUGUAGGCUGCAAACCCCUGACUGGCAUAAGCAUGGGCUGCACACCACAGGUCUGGUCCCAUUGGGGUUCACCCCUGCUGUGCAGGCAGCCCAUUCCCCUUGCUCCCCAUAUGCAACCCAGACUGCACCACGGUCACCCCAUAUCUGCUCCUGGCCCUGCUUUCAGCCAUGCAUGCGGUCUGGGCAGCCCCACUCUGCUCCCAGUGGUGCAUGCAGCAAGGCUUUGCUCCUGGCUGUACAUGCAAGCCCAAUCAGGCCCAGCCAGGCCCACUGUGCUUCAGCUUCUCUCUUCCUGGCUGUGCAGAGAGCGCAGGCAACAGAAUCCCCUCCCUGGCCCUUCUUCCAUCACAAUGCCUGGCCUCCAGGAGCAGGGCAGGAAGCAGAAGCCGGAAGAGAGAGGCAGACCACAGAGCAGCUGGAACCAUGUGGGGAGUGGUGGCCAGAUAGGAGCCUGCAAGCCACCAGUUGGAUAGCCCUGUAAUACUUAAUCACCUUCAUAUUUAGAAAGUUCUUUCAAAUAUCCAACUUAAAUCUCACUGGUUGCCUUUUAAACCUGUUACUUCUUGUCCUGUCUCCUGUGAGCAUAGAGAGAACAAUUACUUACAACAAUCCAUUCUGUAUUUGAAGACUGCGAUCAAAUUCCCCCUUAGUCUUUUCUUAAAGGUGAAUAAUCCAAGUUCUUCCAAUCUUUCUUCAUCUGUCAUGUUCCAUAGACCUUGAAUCAUUUCUAUUGCUUUCCACUGGAUUCUUUCUAAUUUAUCUGCGUCUUCCUUGAAGUGUGGCACUCAAACAGGGCCUCACUGCCCCAUCAGGGAGUAGAGUGAAAGAAUCAUUUCCCACUUAUUAAGCUGUCGACUUAUAUUUAGCUUUGCAGUUUGCUAUAACUCUCCCAUUGUUUUCUGCGUUACUGCAGCCUGGCCAGUCUUUCCCCAUUUUCUAUUUGUACAUUUUAUUCUUUCUUUUUUUUUGCACUUAUCCUUAUAGAACUUAAUCUGAUUUAUUUCAUACUGAUUCUCAAAUUUGUUCAGGUCAUUUUGAAUCCUAUUCCUGUCCUGUAAAGCAGGGCUGUCCAGUUGAGAAACUGUGGCUGGUGGCAAUGGCUGAGGUUUCUGGACUCCCCCUCCCUCCUCUGGCUUCUAGUUCCUGCCAUGCUUCUGGGCCCAGGGCAGCAACAGUGAGAGGGGGGCAGACUACCCAGGCUGUGUGGGGCAGGGAAGGGUACCAGGCUUAGUGCACACUAAGUGUUUGGCAUGGGAGGGAACCAGGCUGUCUUUGCUGAGUGCUGCAGCACAUGUGGCUAGGAAGCAAGCUGGGACGCAUACAUGGUGAAAGGCGACUUUGGAGGAGAGGUCAACUCCUGUGAUGUGUAGCCCUGGGGUCUGCAGCCUGCCCUGUGUGAUGCUCCCAGCUGCCUAGAAGUUGGACAGCCCUGCUAUAAAGUGCUGCAACCUUAUAAGUGCAAACUUAUGAAGUGUACCCUCAGUCCUAUCUGUCAAGUCAGUUCCUGAAUGGUGCUGAACCUAGAACAGACAUCUGAGAAUCCCACUUGAUAAUUUUUCCCAAUUAGACACUGAGCCAUGGACUAUGCUUCGAGUUCAGUUUUCCAUCCAGUUAUAAAAUCCCCUUCUCUAGGAUUUUCAUGUAGGCUAUAUUUUCUUACCUUCAUUCUGAAAAUGGGAGACAGUUUCUAAAGCUUUGCUAAAGUCAAAGUAUAGCACAUAGAUAUGCUCUCCACCCAUCUGCAAAGCCUGUCACCAUGUCAUAAAAGAAAAUCAUAGUGGCUAAGCAUGGACUGCUGUUCACAAAUCCAUGGUAGUUGUUAGUUAUCGCCUUGUUAUCUUAAAUUCUUUGCACAAAUAAAUAUCUUGUGAAGUAUUACAUUGACCAGUCUGUAAUUCCAUGGGUCCACCUUUUCUGUUUUUUAAAGAUGGGCACUGUAUUUGUCCUUUCCAAAGUGUUAUGGGACCAUGUCUACCUCUAUCAGUUCUCAAAGAUAAUAGCCAAUGGCUCUGCAAAUACCUGAGACAGUGUUUCUAGCAUGAGCCUCAUCAGGCCCUGAUGAUUUGGAAAUAUCUAGCUUAUCUAAGUAGUCUUUAAUCAUUUUUUUCUUUACUUAAGGCUGGUUAGCCUUGCUGCUGAGUUUGCCAUCUGUUAGUUAAUUUUUUUUGAGGGGGAGAUGUGGGGGCUAGGAACUGAGGUAAAAAAGGCAUUAAACUCUUCAGGCUUCUCCACAUCAACUCGUGCUAGUCACCCCUUCCAGUUCAGUAAGGGACACUGUCCUUGAUCUUCAUCUUACUUGUAGCAGAUUUAUAUGAUGCUUUUUGUUGCCUUUUACAUCCUUUGCUAGCCGGAUUUCAUUAUGUGCCUUGGCCUUCUGUAUCCUGUCCAUAUUAUAUUUGUAUGCUCAUCUUUAUUGCCAAGUUUCCAUUUUUGAAGAUUCUUUGUUAAAUUUCAAGUAAUUGAAGAGUCCACUGUUUAGCCAAGCUGGUAUCUUGCUACAUUUCCUGUCCUUCCUUUGCACUGAGAUAGUAUGCCGUUGUGCCUUUAAUAUUGUCUCUUUAAGGAGCAACUAACUAUCUUUGAUUCCUUUAUCCCUUAGAUUUGCCUCCCAUGGGAUCCUGCCUACCAAGUCCUUAACUUUUCUGAUAUCCACAGGUGUUUACACAUGUGCUCUGGGAGUGUGUGUGCACGUGUGGGGGGGCACUUUAAUUUGAGUAACUCCGAGAGCCGCUUUAAUUAAAGCACCAGAGCAUCUUGUAUAUCAGCAUCCCAAGCUGAAAAAUGGCGGUGGGGGUGCUUUAACUAAAGCUCAGUCCAGCAGACUCAAUUAAUAAAGUCUGCUCCAACGCACUGUAAUUACAGUGUGUUGGAGCAGCCUCGCUGCACAUGUAUAGGUGUCCCAUAAUUUUAAUUCUGAUACUCUCCUUCUUUUUUUUCCCUAGGAUCAUGAACAGUUAUUGGCUAGGCACAGACAGUCAAAAAGCCUGAGACUGAAUUGAUUCAGUCUUUGCAGACAAAGAAGAAAGAAAGAGGCAGACUGCCAUUGUUAUUUUUAUUUUGAAAUGCAUGG